AAGUGGUAGGAGAGCGUUCUAUUUGCGUCGAAGGUAUACCGGUAAGGAGUGCUGGAGCGAAUAGAAGUGAGCAUGCAGGCAUGAGUAGCGAUAAUUAAUGUGAGAAUCAUUAACGCCGUAAACCCAAGGUUUCCUACGCGAUGCUCGUCAUCGUAGGGUUAGUCGGGUCCUAAGUCGAGUCCGAAAGGGGUAGACGAUGGCAAAUUGGUUAAUAUUCCAAUACCAACAUUAGUGUGCGAUGGAAGGACGCUUAGGGCUAAGGGGGCUAGCGGAUGGAAGUGCUAGUCUAAGGUUGUAGGAGGUUAUACAGGCAAAUCCGUAUAACAAUACUCCGAGAACUGAAAGGCUUUUUGAAGUCUUCGGAUGGAUAGAAGAACCCCUGAUGCCGUCGAGCCAAGAAAAGUUUCUAAGUUUAGCUAAUGUUGCCCGUACCGUAAACCGACACAGGUGGGUGGGAUGAGUAUUCUAAGGCGCGUGGAAGAACUCUCUUUAAGGAACUCUGCAAAAUAGCACC
rnacentral:rRNA from 1 species